UUUAGUCUAAUGCAGCACAACAUAGCCCCCUAGACUAAAAGAUAUUCGACUGGGGUACAGCCCUGUUGAACAAGGAUACAACCUAAGCUAGCGGCCCAGAACCCCAGCACACCCAGUAGGCCUUAAAGCCGCCACCAACAAACAAAGCGUCACAGCACAACAUUAUAAAUGUCAACAGCUCUGCCAAACCCCUAGUAAAAUACUGAGCCAUACUAUAAUAAUAGUAGGACCAAUGCUAAAACUAGUAACAAGAAAGCUUCUCUACGCACUCUCGUGCCCCAGUAAUAGAAAAACUACUGGACAUUACCAGACCGUAACAGAACACCAAACUGUCAUACCAACACCGGGGUGCCUAAAAGAGGGUUAAAAACUACAUAAGGAACUCAGCAAUACCUGUUUCAACUGUUUACCAAAAACACAGCCUUUAGCCAAACAAGUAUUAAAGGUGCUGCCUGCCCAGUGAAAAUUUUUAACGGCCGCGGUAUCCUAACCGUGCAAAGGUAGCGUAAUCACUUGUCUUUUAAAUAAAGACUCGUAUGAACGGCUAAAUGAAAACAGACCUGUCUCUUAUAGUCAACCCGUGAAACUGAUCUUUAAGUACAAAAGCUUAAAUGAACACAUAAGACGAGAAGACCCGUGGAGCUUAAAACCAACGCUAUUGACUUAACCAGAUAUAGCCCAAGUUUUGAGUUGGGGCGACUUCGGAACAAAACAAAACUUCCGAACACAGAGCUAAACCCUCUCCCUAAGACCCACAAGUCGAAGGAACAUGCCGACCCAGUCCACACUGAACAAUGAACCAAGUUACCCCAGGGAUAACAGCGCCAUCUUCUUCAAGAGUUCUUAUCGACAAGAAGGUUUACGACCUCGAUGUUGGAUCAGGACACCCAAAUGGUGCAACAGCUAUUAAAGGUUCGUUUGUU
rnacentral:rRNA from 1 species